UGGGGAAUCUUGCACAAUGGGGGAAACCCUGAUGCAGCGACGCCGCGUGAACGAUGAAGCCCUUCGGGGUGUAAAGUUCUUUCGACAGGAACGAUAAUGACGGUACCUGGAGAAGAAGCUGCGGCUAACUACGUGCCAGCAGCCGCGGUAAUACGUAGGCAGCGAGCGUUGUUCGGAGUUACUGGGCGUAAAGAGUGCGUAGGCGGCGAGCCAAGUUUGGUGUGAAAUCUCCCGGCUUAACCGGGAGGGUGCGCCGAAAACUGGUUGGGUGGAGUAUGGGAGAGGAAAGCGGAAUUCCGGGUGUAGCGGGGAAAUGCGUAGAUAUCAGGAGGAACACCUGCGGUGUAGACAGCUUUCUGGACCAAAACUGACGCUGAGGCACGAAAGCGUGGGUAGCAAACA
rnacentral:rRNA from 1 species